AGUGAACGCUGGCGGUAGGCCUAACACAUGCAAGUCGAACGGCAGCACAGUAAGAGCUUGCUCUUACGGGUGGCGAAUGGCGGACGGGUGAGGAAUACAUCGGAAUCUACUUUUUCGUGGGGGAUAACGUAGGGAAACUUACGCUAAUACCGCAUACGACCUACGGGUGAAAGCAGGGGAUCUUCGGACCUUGCGCGAUUGAAUGAGCCGAUGUCGGAUUAGCUAGUUGGCGGGGUAAAGGCCCACCAAGGCGACGAUCCGUAGCUGGUCUGAGAGGAUGAUCAGCCACACUGGAACUGAGACACGGUCCAGACUCCUACGGGAGGCAGCAGUGGGGAAUAUUGGACAAAGGGCGCAAGCCUGAUCCAGCCAUACCGCGUGGGUGAAGAAGGCCUUCGGGUUGUAAAGCCCUUUUGUUGGGAAAGAAAAGCAGCAGGUUAAUACCCCGCUGUUCUGACGGUACCCAAAGAAUAAGCACCGGCUAACUUCGUG
rnacentral:rRNA from 1 species